GAGUAAGCUAGACACAUUUGCUUCUCCUUUUAAAAAUGGAAAUGACAAGCUCUUGCCACUUUCAUAUGCAGCCGGACAUGGUGUAUUUGUGUUUCUGAGGUUAUUGUACAAGACGAAUUGGGUGAGUGAUUUGAAGUUAAAAUUAGCUCAUUUUUGUCAACUUAUUUAUUUACUGGUAUAUUUAGGCUCGAAAUUAAUUUCUUCCCUUUUUUUUGUCUCCCUACAACUUUGUAUAAAACAGGUUCAUAUGACAUUAAUCCUACAAAUAAACCAUUUGGAUUAGAAGUCAUUUCCUUCAUGAAAAUUACCUUUCUUGACAUAGUAAUCAUUACUUUUUAUGAUGUCUGUAAAUCUAGAUUAAAAAUUCUCUAGGCUGGAAAUAAGAUUUAAUUUUAGAGCUAUUUUGUCCUUGAUUAUUGACACAGAAUCUUGUGGUGUUGAGCAAGGCAGAGGCUGUGUGCUGCAAUCUCUGUUGAGGAGGGAAACUCCCAGUGCUCUGCAUAGUGAACUGAUCACAUAGAAGUUUCUUUAGCAUGGGAAUGUGCUUCCAUGUUUCCCUGAAGAGCAAAGUACAGCGGUAGAAUGGCAGAUCCGUCCAGAAGUCAGUCCAAAAAGAUAGAUACCAUCAUGCUGACUGAUUCUUUUUCACAAUGCUGCUGUGAUGCCUCAGACACAAGCCCAAGCAUCUACCAAGCUGCUUCUUCCCUCCAAGUGACAAAAAGAAAAGAAAAGAAAAUGACAGGUACCAUCAGCCCACUUUUUACCCUGAUCUAUGCGGUCCUUAGCAACCAGAGUAUCUACACUGAGGCACGUUGCUGUGGUUGUCAUAACUUUGAAGAAAACAAAUCUUCAAAGAUCUUUUUUAUCUUUUCCAGGAAGAUAUGUCAAUCCUUUGAUGGUAAAAAGCAUUAAAACUCAAAAUUGAGAGGCAAAAUAUAUCAUAUCCCACUAAAAACUCCUUGAGCCAGAUAACUGCCAGCAUGUACAGUUAGAAGGGUAAUAAUAGCUAGUGACUGCUGUGUGGAAUGUGUUAAGACUUCUAAAUAUAUUAUUUCAUUUAAUUCUUGCAACUAUUUAUAGUAAAAAAUAAGAGGACUGAUGUUAAACAUGUUAGUUUUGCCUGCACUAAAAGCUUAAAAGAAUUAAUAAUGAGAUACGGAACUAUCAUACACAAAGCAUUCAGAAAAGCAUUUGUAAAUGAAUAUCUUAAAGGUAUCCUUCAACUGACACUUGUUCUGAUAUGGCUACUUAGUUGUCUCUAAAGCAAAAAGUACAUGUCGAGAGGUACUAAGUAAGAUAAGAGUUCUCCUUCCCAGUUCUUGCAGGCCUGUGUACUUAAUUUGACAAACACAUUGUUCCAAAAGUAAGCCAUGGGAGCUGGGCAUCAUGGCAUACACCUGUAGUCCCAGCUACUCAGGAGGCUGAAGUGGGAUGAUCCCUUGAGCCCAGGAGUUCGAGGCUGCAGUGAGCCAUGAUCAUGCCUCUGCACUCCAGCCUGAGUGACAGAGCAAGACCCUGUCUCUAAAACAAAACAAAAGUAAGCCAUGGGAGGCAGAUGUAGUAGAAUGGGAAAAAUGGAAAUACUAGCUUUGAAGCCUACACUGACCUUCUACUCAUGAGUCCCAGCCAGCAGCUGGGCAUUUGGGUGCAGGAGAGAGGGACAAGAAUACUUCCCCCAGUAAGAGCAAAAUGGAAUGCUACAAUCAUAGCCCAGUGGGCAGAGAUGGAAGGCAGAGCUUCAGGCACCCAGACAGUAUAUGUGGGUGUACGGCCUUUCAGAAUGUGGCUUAUGGCAGUCGGGUGUUAAAGGCUCACCACAGGCACAGCAGGUCCAACCUAGGGAAGGCCAAGGCUGUCAAGGUAUUCCCUGCCCUAAAAAGACUUCGCUCAAUGUCUCUCUGA
rnacentral:lncRNA from 1 species